rnacentral:rRNA from 1 species
AGAAAUCGUUAAGGGCGUAUGGCGGAUGCCUAGGCUUUCAGAGGCGAAGAAGGACGUGGUAAGCUGCGAAAAGCUGCGGGGAUUGGCACACACGAAUUGAUCCGCAGAUGUCCGAAUGGGGCAACCCGUCUGGUUGAAGACCAGUCACUCUAAAUUUAUUUAGAGAGCAAACCCGGAGAACUGAAACAUCUAAGUACCCGGAGGAAAAGAAAUCGAAGAGAUUCCGUAAGUAGUGGCGAGCGAAAGCGGAUUAGCCCAAAAGUCUUUAUAUGUUUAAAAGAAUGUUCUGGAAAGAACAGCCGUAGAGGGUGAUAGCCCCGUAUUUGAAAGGCAUACAUAGAUGAUAAAUGAGUAGGGCGGGACACGUGAAAUCCUGUCUGAAUAUGGGGGGACCAUCCUCCAAGGCUAAAUACUCCUGAAAGACCGAUAGUGAACAAGUACUGUGAAGGAAAGGUGAAAAGCACUUCGAAUAGAAGGGUGAAAUAGAACCUGAAACCGUACGCCUACAAGCGGUCGGAGCAGCGUAAUGCUGUGACGGCGUGCCUUUUGCAUAAUGAGCCUACGAGUUAAUGUUGCUGGCAAGGUUAAGUACUUCAGGUACGGAGCCGUAGCGAAAGCGAGUCUGAAUAGGGCGCUAUAGUCAGUAGUAUUAGACGCGAAACCUUGUGAUCUACCCAUGGGCAGGUUGAAGCUUUGGUAACACAAAGUGGAGGACCGAACCGGUUGACGUUGAAAAGUCUUCGGAUGACCUGUGGGUAGGGGUGAAAGGCCAAUCAAACUGGGAAAUAGCUCGUACUCCCCGAAAUGCAUUUAGGUGCAGCGUUUAGUGAAGUAUAUUAGAGGUAGAGCUACUGAUUGGAUGCGGGGGCUUCACCGCCUACCAAUUCCUGACAAACUCCGAAUGCUAAUAUAUGUUUCUAGGCAGUGAGGGCAUGGGUGCUAAGGUCCAUGUCCGAGAGGGAAAGAACCCAGACCAUCAGCUAAGGUCCCCAAAUAUAUGCUAAGUUGAAAAAACGCGGUUGGAUUGCAUAGACAGCUAGGAUGUUAGCUUGGAAGCAGCUAUUCAUUUAACGAGUGCGUAACAGCUCACUAGUCGAGCGAUCCGGCAUGGAUAAUAAUCGGGCAUAAGCAUAUUACCGAAGCUAUGGAUUACAUCUUAUGAUGUACUGGUAGGGGAGCAUUCUAGCGGCGCAGAAGUCGUACCGGCAAGGUAUGGUGGAGCUUCUAGAAAAGAAAAUGUAGGCAUGAGUAACGAUAAAAUAAGUGAGAAACUUAUUCGCCGUAAGACUAAGGAUUCCUCAGCUAUGCUAAUCAGCUGAGGGUUAGUCGGGACCUAACGCGAACCCGAACGGGGUAGUGGAUGGCAAAUGGGUUAAUAUUCCCAUACCUGCUCUCAACAAAAGUGACGAAUGAUCGUAGGAGGUGCGUACUGACGGAAUAGUACGUUGAACUUAGGUAAACUAAGGAUAGUACACAAAGGUUUCGGCUGGAGUGAUAAUCCUCUGAAGAUUGUUCCAAGAAAUAGCGAGAUGUGCAGCCCGUACCGUAAACCGACACAGGUGGUCGAGGAGAGUAUCCUAAGGCGCUCGAGCGAUUCAUGGUUAAGGAAUUAGGCAAAAUAGACCUGUAACUUCGGGAGAAAGGUCGCUGACAGCAAUGUCAGCCUCAGUAAAAAGGCCCAGGCGACUGUUUAUCAAAAACACAGGACUCUGCAAAAUAGAAAUAUGACGUAUAGGGUCUGACACCUGCCCGGUGCUGGAAGGUUAAGGAAGGAGCUUAGAGGUAACUCGAAGGUUUUGACUGAAGCCCCAGUAAACGGCGGCCGUAACUAUAACGGUCCUAAGGUAGCGAAAUUCCUUGUCGGGUAAGUUCCGACCUGCACGAAUGGUGUAACGAUCUGGGCACUGUCUCAACCAUGAUCUCGGUGAAAUUGUAGUAUCGGUGAAGAUGCCGGUUAAUCGCAACGGGACGAAAAGACCCUGUGAACCUUUACUAUAGCUUUGUAUUGACUUCGGGUAAAUAAUGUGUAGGAUAGGUGGGAGACUAUGAAGCAGUAUCGCUAGGUAUUGUGGAGUCAUUGUUGAAAUACCACCCUUUAUUUACUUGGAGCCUAACUUCUUGAUAGAAGGACAGUGCAUGGUGGGUAGUUUGACUGGGGUGGUCGCCUCCAAAAGAGUAACGGAGGCUUUCAAAGGUACCCUCAGCACGCUUGGUAACCGUGCGUAGAGUGUAAUGGCAUAAGGGUGCUUGACUGUGAGACCAACAAGUCGAUCAGGUGCGAAAGCAGGACAUAGUGAUCCGGUGGUUCCGUAUGGAAGGGCCAUCGCUCAACGGAUAAAAGGUACUCCGGGGAUAACAGGCUAGUCUCCCCCAAGAGCUCACAUCGACGGGGAGGUUCGGCACCUCGAUGUCGGCUCGUCACAUCCUGGGGCUGGAGAAGGUCCCAAGGGUUGGGCUGUUCGCCCAUUAAAGUGGCACGCGAGCUGGGUUCAGAACGUCGUGAGACAGUUCGGUCUCUAUCUGUUGUGAUCGUUAGAAGUUUGAGCGGAGUUGACUCUAGUACGAGAGGACCGUGUUGAACAAACCUCUGGUGUAUCAGUUGUGCCGCCAGGUGCACCGCUGAGUAGCUACGUUUGGAAGAGAUAAGCACUGAAAGCAUAUAAGUGCGAAACUCGCCGCAAGAUUAGACUUCUUUAAAGGGUCGUUGUAGACUACAACGUUGAUAGGCUAUAGAUGUAAAGGCAGUGAUGUCAUAGUCAAGUAGUACUAAUUACCCAUAGACUUUUUCUA